rnacentral:rRNA from 1 species
AGUGAACGCUGGCGGCAGGCCUAACACAUGCAAGUCGAACGGCAGCACAGUAAGAGUUUGCUCUUAUGGGUGGCGAGUGGCGGACGGGUGAGGCAUGCAUCGGAAUCUACUUUUUCGUGGGGGAUAACGUAGGGCAGCUUAAUCUAAUAGCGAAUACGAUCUACGGUUGAAUGCAGGGGAGAUUGGGGGCUUUCGGGAUUGAAUGAGACGAUGUCGGAGUUGCUAGUUGGGUAGGUAAGUGCUCACCAAGGCGACGAUCCGUAGCUUGACUGAGAGGCUGAUCACCCACACUGGAACUGAGACACGGUCCAGACUCCUACGGGAGGCAGCAGUGGGGAAUAUUCGGCAAUGGGCGCAAGCCUGACCCAGCCAUACCGCGUGAGUGAAGAAGGCCUUCGGGUUGUAAAGCCCUUUUGUUGGGAAAGAAAAGCAGCAGAUUAAUACCCCGCUGUCCUGACGGUACCCAAAGAAUAAGCACCGGCUAACUUCGUG